ACAAACGUGGAGGGCGGAGGGGAGCGCUGUUCCACGGCUGUCCGUCUGAAAAGCUUGGUUCAUGGAUCGCUUUCAAAAUGUCGAUCCGACAAGCAUCUCCAUGUUGAUGAUACUGGAGGAAAGUUCGACGUUUUGAGUUUGUUCGAUACUGCACCAUCUUCUCAGAUCGACUUCGCCCCGCGCAGUUGCUGUUAGGCACGCAAACUGGUAGCUGUCGUCUGCUUUACAAAUUGAAACACGGCCCGAGUUCAAAGGACUAUCGUGGCGUAUUUGGAUAAUUUUGCGCCAGCGGACGAAAGUGGUGGAUAUAGGAAGAGCCGACACGGUCGAGCAGAGAUGGAGUUGCCGGCAGGGGGCGCAGGUGACAGCUGCGGAGGGAGUGGACUGGAGUCUCAUGGCAACACCACGGCCAGCAGUCACUGUGUGCGGAUCUGGUCACCAACUGUCGCUGGGACCUUGAGAGCUGUCGAAAAAUUCAGAUAAUAAAUCGAACCGAGUAGACUACAUUUUUCCUUUUUUCUUCCUUUUCCUGCGCGGCUGUUUGCUUAGAAACAGCCUUUCCUUUCCUCUAUUUUUUUUUUUCGUUUGUUCGUUGUGGUGGAUUAUUCACAGUUACAAUACAGACAAGAAGAACAAAUUCAAUAUAAUGACCUGAAGGUUUUGACAUUUUAUACAUGUGUGAGGAUGCCGAUGCAUAAAGGAUUUUAUCAUUUUA